GGUUCUUUUGCAAUUCCGUGUGACAAAUCCUAUUUAAAUUAAAAAGAGCAUGAGUGUUUUACAUUAUAAUAAAGUGAUAAAAAAAAUUAUCUAUUUUUUACUUGUAAAGGAGGCAAAACAUGGUUCAAACAUUCAAGUUUGCUUAUGCUAUGAUCCUUGUUCUUUAUCUAUUUUUUGUUGUAACCAACAUUAGCGCAUUUAGUGCUCCGUGCAAACACUUCUUUGAUUGUUUUCCAUUUUGUCGAUAUCCUCUAGUUGAAGUAUGCGAAAAUGAAGUUUGUGUGUGCAAAGAGAUUGAAUCAAUCGAUCCUAUGAGAAAGAGAUCAAAUCAAUGACAUACACAUUAAUUGUCCAUGUAAAAAAGAAUAAACAAGUCAUUCUGAAGAGAUCAUGAAACUCAUCAAAAAUCAUGUCGGAAUCACUAAACAAUGGAGUCUAGCAAUGGUUUGGGUUGUGUGGAGCAAUUGAUAGGUGGUCAAAUGUCUUGCCAACUAUUCAUUGAGUGGUGCGCCUGGCAAGUGGCAAUUAACGAGCUGAUAGAACGAUGAACGUGUAAAUGUAAAAAUUAAGGGUGAUCAAAAUGCAAAUCUAUAGAAAUAUUAUUACAAUAUAAAAAUUGAGAGUUGUCAAAAUGUAAAUCUAUAGAAAUAUUAGUGCAAUUUUCUGAAAUUCUGCACACUCUGCCACACUGGAUCAGCCCUUGCAACCAAGGCUACAUCUUAUGUAGAGUUAUAACUAAAUAUUAUUUAUUUUGUGUUUUAUGAAGAUAUAAAGAUCUAGGGUUAAAAAAUUUAUAUACCUUUGUGUUACAUAAAACACACAUGUUUACAUAAAGGUAUGAAGGAAAAAAGAAAAAAAAACCACAACUAGAGGCAUCAAGAUAUUCUUCAAUCAAAGAAGAGAAUGAAGACGAAAGAUGACAUAGAACUUCAGGGAGGUGAAGAAAUCACACCAUCACUUGUCAAAGCUAUUGAAGAUUCUAGGUUUGUAAUUUCAUCAAAUGUAUGAUUCAAAUAUUCAAAUAAACUCAUAUUUUCAUCUCUAACAAUAUUA